rnacentral:rRNA from 1 species
UACGUAGGGUGCGAGCGUUAAUCGGAAUUACUGGGCGUAAAGCGUGCGCAGGCGGUUUUAUAAGCCAGAUGUGAAAGCCCCGGGCUCAACCUGGGAAUGGCAUUUGGGACUGUAAGGCUGGAGUAUGGCAGAGGAGACUAGAAUUCCUGGUGUAGCAGUGAAAUGCGUAGAUAUCAAGUGGAACACCAGUGGCGAAGGCGAGUCUCUGGACAAUUCCUGACGCUGAGGCACGAAAGCCAGGGGAGCAAACGGG